rnacentral:rRNA from 1 species
UACGAAGGGAGCUAGCGUUGUUCGGAAUCACUGGGCGUAAAGCGCACGUAGGCGGAUGUGUCAGUCAGGGGUGAAAUCCCGGAGCUCAACUUCGGAACUGCCUUUGAUACAGCACAUCUGGAGUCCGGAAGAGGUGGGUGGAAUUCCUAGUGUAGAGGUGAAAUGCGUAGAUAUCGGGAGGAACACCAGUGGCGAAGGCGAACUACCCUGGCCCAUUCUUGACGCUGAGGCGCGAAAGCUAGGGGAGCGAACGGG